rnacentral:rRNA from 1 species
AACGUAGGUGGCGAGCGUUAUCCGGAUUUACUGGGCGUAAAGGGCGCGCAGGCGGUCUGGUAAGUUUGGAGUGACAGUGUUCGGCUUAACUGAGCAAGGCCUUCGAAAACUGCUAGACUUGAGCACUCAAGAGGGACAUAGAAUUCCGGGUGGAGUGGUGAAAUGCGUAGAUAUCCGGAGGAAUACCAAAGGCGAAGGCAGUGUCCUGGGGAGUGUCUGACGCUCAGGCGCGAAAGCUAGGGGAGCGAACAGG